rnacentral:rRNA from 1 species
UAAUACGGAGGGUGCAAGCGUUAUCCGGAAUCAUUGGGUUUAAAGGGUCCCGCAGGCGGAUUUAUAAGUCAGUGGUGAAAUCCUAUCGCUUAACGAUAGAACUGCCAUUGAUACUGUAGGUCUUGAAUUCGGUCGAAGUGGGCGGAAUGUGUAGUGUAGCGGUGAAAUGCAUAGAUAUUACACAGAACACCGAUAGCGAAGGCAGCUCACUAGGCCUGGAUUGACGCUCAGGGACGAAAGCGUGGGGAUCAAACAGGAUUAGAUACCCUGGUAGUCCACGCUGUAAACGAUGAUUACUCGUUUUCGGCGAUACAAUGUCGGAGACUAAGCGAAAGUGAUAAGUAAUCCACCUGGGGAGUACGAUCGCAAGGUUGAAACUCAAAGGAAUUGACGGGGGCCCGCACAAGCGGUGGAGCAUGUGGUUUAAUUCGAUGAUACGCGAGGAACCUUACCCAGGGCUUGAAAGUUAGUGAAGGGAGUGGAAACA